CUCAAGUGUUUUGUGAUAUUUUGAAGAGUUGUGUGAGCCAUUCUAACCCCCAAAUCCGACCACUCUCCCUCCCUCAUUCACUCUCAUCUGAUUUUUGAAGACUCUCUCAAGUGUUCUCUCCAUUUUGAACCCCAAGAACACCAAAGAAACUUGGAAGCUAAGUCUUGGUCUAGGAAGGGUUUUCCCUAAGUUGGUUAGGGUUUUUGAAAGGUUUUGAAGGAGUCAAAGCUUAUAGGAAGGUCCAAACCUUAAGCAAGAACACCAAAGAGUAUUGGCUAAGCGUAACUGGACUGAACGUUGGAGGGUGAAAACCUGCUGAGCGCUAAGGACUCCAAGUAAGUCAACUUAUAUUGUAUGGCUGCAACAUGAAAUGAUUAUUGUCUUGUAUGUUAGUAUAGGGAUACAUGCACAUAUGUAGGCUGUCAUAGAAAGUUGCUUAGAGACGUUAGUCUAGUGAGUGCUGAUUUAGAAAAUAUGAACGGUAGAAGUCCGUCAUAUCCUAGACGGUUGAUCCCCGUCACACUGCUUGAUUUUAUUUAUGUCCGGUUCAUUACCGCGACGAGUGGCCAUGAGAUGAGGAUAAGCUGGUUAAACCUAGGGGCGCCAAGAUAAAUGGGACCUAGGGGCCCUCAUGCUUACUUAAUCAUUGGACGGUUAGAAUCCGAGCAAGUGCUCUGAUAAGUUAUUCCCGGAUAGCAGCCGUGAAUAUUGGCCAUUCCGUGAGAGUGCCUAGAGAUACUAGGGGUUGCCAAGAUUGAGUGAGGUUGAACACCCUAGGGGCAGCUGCUCACCAGCACCACUAAUUAACAUAGAAGUCUCCGUAAAAUCGUG